rnacentral:rRNA from 1 species
ACUGGACAGUCUCAGUUACUUGGAUAACUGCGGUAAUUCUGGAGCUAAUACAUGCGUACUAGCCGCGACUCACGGAGCGGUGCUUUUAUUAGAUCAAAACCAAACGGCCUCGAGCCGUCCCCCUGGUGAUUCUGAAUAACUUUGGGCUGAUCGCACGGACUCGUUCCGGCGACGUGUCCUUCCAAGGUGUGCCCUAUCAACUGUCGACUGUGGCAUAGACGCCCACAGUGGUUUUGACGGGUAACGGGGAAUUAGGGUUCGAUUCCGGAGAGGGAGCCUGAGAAACGGCUACCACUUCUACGGAAGGCAGCAGGCACGCAAAUUACCCACUGGCCGAAGGCCGAGGUAGUGACGAAAAAUAACGAUACCGGACUCAUCCGAGGCCCGGUAAUCGGAAUGAGUACACUUUAAAUCCUUUAACGAGGAACAAUUGGAGGGCAAGUCUGGUGCCAGCAGCCGCGGUAAUUCCAGCUCCAAUAGCGUAUAUUAAAGUUGUUGCGGUUAAAAAGCUCGUAGUUGGAUCUCGGCGGGCAGGGGGUGGUUCGCUCUUCAGCGCUACUGCCCCGCUUUGCCCGUGUGAUUGGCGGAGGUUUCGGGGUGCUCUUCGUUGAGUGACUCGGAGCGCCGUCAGGUUUACUUUGAAAAAAUUAGAGUGCUCAAAGCAGGCUUUUCACGCUUGAAUAUUCGUGCAUGGAAUAAUGGAAUAGGAACUCGUUUCUAUUUUGUUGGUUUUCGGAAAUCGAGUUAAUGAUUAACAGGGACAAUUGGGGGCAUUAGUAUUCAGACGACAGAGGUGAAAUUCUUGGACCGUCUGAAGACUGACUACUGCGAAAGCAUUUGCCAAGAGUGUUUUCAUUAAUCAAGAACGAAAGUUAGAGGUUCGAAGGCGAUCAGAUACCGCCCUAGUUCUAACCAUAAACGAUGCCAGCUAGCGAUCUGCCGAGUUUUUUUUGUAGGCUCCGCAGGAAGCUUUCGGGAAACCAAAGCUUUUGGGUUCCGGGGGAAGUAUGGUUGCAAAGCUGAAACUUAAAGGAAUUGACGGAAGGGCACCACCAGGAGUGGAGCCUGUGGCUUAAUUUGACUCAACACGGGAAAUCUCACCAGGCCCGGACACUGGAAGGAUUGACAGAUUGAUAGCUCUUUCUUGAUUCGGUGGGUGGUGGUGCAUGGCCGUUCUUAGUUGGUGGAG